CGUCCUCUGCCGUGAACGACGGCGCGCGCAAAACAUUCGCCUUGGCCCUUAAAUACGACCACGGGGGCGCAACGGAAUCCGGGUGUGCAUGUCCGCCUCGCAGCGGGAAGCCCGAUGGAAGCCAAGCGUCCCCACUUGAACCCCGGGUUCAAGGUCGUUUUCGCGAGCAUCGGCAUGGCGGAGGAUGC
rnacentral:other from 1 species